rnacentral:rRNA from 1 species
CUCGAUGUCGGCUCAUCACAUCCUGGGGCUGUAGUAGGUCCCAAGGGUUGGGCUGUUCGCCCAUUAAAGUGGUACGCGAGCUGGGUUCAGAACGUCGUGAGACAGUUCGGUCCCUAUCCGUCGCAGGCGUAGGAAAUUUGAGAAGACCUGUCCUUAGUACGAGAGGACCGGGAUGGACGUACCUCUGGUGUACCAGUUGUCCUGCCAAGGGCAUGGCUGGGUAGCUAUGUACGGAAUGGAUAAGCGCUGAAAGCAUCUAAGCGCGAAGCCAACUUCAAGAUAAGAUUUCCCACCGCAAGGGUAAGACCCCAGAAAGACUAUCUGGUUGAUAGGUCGAAGGUGUAAGUGCAGCAAUGUAUUUAGCUUAUCGAUACUAAUAGGUCGAGGACUUGACCAAU